rnacentral:rRNA from 1 species
CCUACGGGUGGCUGCAGUCGAGGAUCUUCGGCAAUGGGCGCAAGCCUGACCGAGCGACGCCGCGUGCGGGAUGAAGGCCUUCGGGUUGUAAACCGCUGUCGUAGGGGAGGAAGGCCGGGUGAAGAGCUCGGUUUGACCUAUCCUAGGAGGAAGGGUGGGCUAAGUUCGUGCCAGCAGCCGCGGUAAGACGAACCACCCAAACGUUAUUCGGAAUUACUGGGCUUAAAGGGUGCGUAGGCUGUGCGGAAAGUUGGGUGUGAAAUACCUCAGCUUAACUGAGGAACUGCGCUCAAAACUACCGUGCUCGAGGGAGACAGAGGUGAGCGGAACUUAGGGUGGAGCGGUGAAAUGCGUUGAUAUCCUAAGGAACACCGGUGGCGAAAGCGGCUCACUGGGUCUUUUCUGACGCUGAGGCACGAAAGCUAGGGUAGCGAACGGGA